CGAAUAUAAAAGCGCGAUAAACAGCCUCAGGAAAAUCCUGGCAGUGGGCAGAGCGAACCUACCAAGGAUCGGUAACGAACGAACAGCCAAUCACGAAGAUUUUUCUGACAAAGUUCGCAACCACAGAUUGGUUCCCGUGAUCGUUGUGGGCGGCGGUUUGGCGGGCAAGGUGGUGGCUUUGGUUUAUCAUCGCAACAACAUGGUCUACAAGGAUCCUAUAGAUAAUAUUUUUCUUGUGAAUAUUUCUAUAUUUGUAUUUAAAAAAACUGGCGCAAUAAUAAUUAAAUGAAAAUUAAAAUAUGAUUUAAAAAGUACGAAAGAAAGAAAGAAAAAGAGGA